rnacentral:rRNA from 1 species
GACAGCAGUCGCCGCGGGAAUACGUAGGUGGCAAGCGUUGUCCGGAAUUAUUGGGCGUAAAGGGCUCGCAGGCGGUUUCUUAAGUCUGAUGUGAAAGCCCCCGGCUCAACCGGGGAGGGUCAUUGGAAACUGGGAAACUUGAGUGCAGAAGAGGAGAGUGGAAUUCCACGUGUAGCGGUGAAAUGCGUAGAGAUGUGGAGGAACACCAGUGGCGAAGGCGACUCUCUGGUCUGUAACUGACGCUGAGGAGCGAAAGCGUGGGGAGCGAACAGGAUUAGAUACCCGCGUAGUCCCUGUCUCUUAUAC